rnacentral:rRNA from 1 species
UAGGGAAUCUUCCGCAAUGGGCGAAAGCCUGACGGAGCAACGCCGCGUGAGUGAUGAAGGUCUUCGGAUCGUAAAACUCUGUUAUUAGGGAAGAACAAAUGUGUAAGUAACUAUGCACGUCUUGACGGUACCUAAUCAGAAAGCCACGGCUAACUACGUGCCAGCAGCCGCGGUAAUACGGAGGUGGCAAGCGUUAUCCGGAAUUAUUGGGCGUAAAGCGCGCGUAGGCGGUUUUUUAAGUCUGAUGUGAAAGCCCACGGCUCAACCGUGGAGGGUCAUUGGAAACUGGAAAACUUGAGUGCAGAAGAGGAAAGUGGAAUUCCAUGUGUAGCUGUGAAAUGCGCAGAGAUAUGGAGGAAGACCAGUGGCGAAGGCGACUUUCUGGUCUGUAACUGACGCUGAUGUGCGAAAGCGUGGGGAUCAAACAGG